rnacentral:lncRNA from 1 species
UUGUGCUUAAAGUGUUUAAGUUUGCAUGUGCUACUGUUAUAUAAAUACUAUGUGCUACUGUAUAUGUGCUGAUAUUAGACAUUUGUUUUAAUCUAUCUUGCUUAGCUUUUAUUCUGCAUGUGCUAUCUAUGUAUUAAUAUAUAUAUGUGAUGUCUGUAUGUUUGUGUUGUAUGUGUAUCUGAUGUUAUUACAUGUAUGUUUUGUUUAUUAAUAUC